CCUACGGGAGGCAGCAGUCAGGAAUAUUGCUCAAUGGACGAAACUCUGACGCAGUGACGCCGCGUGCAGGAAGAAGGUUUUCGGAUUGUAAACUGCUUUUGACAGGGAAGCUACAAGACAGUACCUGUAAUAUAAGCUCCUGCUAACUACGUGCAAGCAGCCGCGGUAAUACGUAGGGAGCAAGCGUUUACCGGAUUUGGUGGGUGUAAAGGGUGCGUAGACGGGUAGGCAAUGUGUUUGUGAAAUCCCGCGGCUUAACUAAGGAACUGCAACCAAAACUAUCUUUCUUGAGUGCUGGAGAGGAAAGUGGAAUGCCUAGUGUAGCGGUGAAAUGCGUAGAUAUUAGGAGGAACACCAGUUGCGAAGGCGACUUUCUGGCCACUAACUGACGUUGAGGCACGAAAGUGUGGGGAGCGAACAGGAUUAGAUACCCCGGUAGUC
rnacentral:rRNA from 1 species